rnacentral:rRNA from 1 species
UACGUAGGGUGCGAGCGUUGUCCGGAAUUAUUGGGCGUAAAGAGCUCGUAGGCGGUCUGUCGCGUCGGUCGUGAAAACUUGGGGCUUAACCCUGAGCUUGCGGUCGAUACGGGCAUGACUGGAGUUCGGUAGGGGAGACUGGAAUUCCUGGUGUAGCGGUGAAAUGCGCAGAUAUCAGGAGGAACACCGGUGGCGAAGGCGGGUCUCUGGGCAACUACUGACGCUGAGGAGCGAAAGCGUGGGGAGCGAACAGG